UGCGGUGAUUGAAAUUCCGUGCUGAGACGUUCCCAGACAAAUGGAAAAUGAACGUGCUCACCCAGAUGGAUAAAAGAGCCUCUGGUAAUGACAGACAAACUGCAUUACAGGACAGGAAUGUCAUGCAUGAUCAGGUGUGACUUGCAUGGGAAAUCCUGUUCCACCCCAGGGAUACGGGCAGACAGAGUUUGUCAUUGUCAGGGAGAAAACGUGGCUGCGUGUGAACCACCAGGAGGACAGACGGACGCGUGCACGCCAGUGGCCGGACAGAAAUUUCAAGCAACAGUUCUUGGAAACCAUAUGGGGAUCAGCCUGGGAGUUCUGCAAGAACUGGGGAACAGCUUUGACCCAAGGCUUUCUCAUGGUGCAUCACAGUUUUCUAAGCUUGCCUGGAGUAAGAAGGUUGGCCUGUCAUUGGUGAAUUCAUAUGUCAUCGACAACAUGAAUUCUUCUGAACUUGGAAAGCUUUCAUUUGAAGCAGAUGACCUUUCAUUUCAACAUACCUGCAGGAAGCUCUGGAAAGUCUGGGUCUGCCAUGUGCAAAACUACUUACUAGAAAAUAAAAAAGUUACAGAACUACUCAGCACCAGAAGAAAGCAUAUGGCUGCACUAGAGGAAUUUUGGAUGUCUACCAGUGUUGCUUUUCAGGAAUACCUGUUGUUCAGCAAGGAGACAGGCACCAAGUAGCUCAUCUCCAUCUGAUGUGAUAGCUGUACCCUAUCCAGUCAUCACUUGAAACCCACCAGUGGCCAGGCCUGGAACUGGGCUUAUUAAGCCCAUUUUCAUCAAGGAGCUGUGGAUCAAACCAAAUGUGGUAGACUGCGUGAAAUCAGAUUUCUGUUGCUGAAGCCAAGGACUUUCAUAGGUGUUUCCUGAAGCAGUCUGCCUGAAAGCUAAUUUUCAACUCCAUCCUUUCAUGUGCUUUACGGGAGAUUAAGAUGAAAUUAGUGCAGGAAGGAUACUGCUCAAGAUCAUUUUAAGAUUUUCCAAGGCUCACCAGCUUGUUGACCUGUAAACCACCUUUAGCUGGACAGAUGACCCAAAGAGUGCAAACAUGCUCCAAGAAGAGAGAAGGGGAUGAGGAGAGAAGCCAAGCCACCAGCCCUGCGUCUGACUGUUGGAUUGGGAUUCAGGGCAGGAGUUAGGAUGCUUCACAUCCCAACAGCUGCACUCUGUCUUCAGGAUCUGAGAAACUGGACAAGACAACUGAAAAGGAAUCCAGUUGUUUAAGCUUCGGCUGCAAUUGUGUUUAUAUUUGUUUUGCUUGUAACCUUUUGUUUUCAGCCUUGCAACUAAAAGCCUGACCUUGUCUUGCUUAAUAAACCUUGUGCAGAAGCUUUA
ensembl:lncRNA